rnacentral:lncRNA from 1 species
UGGAAGUUCUGUCACUGUUACUUGCUUGUAUCUGAAAAGGUGUCAGUAGUUCCAGAGAAGAAGCUAAUUCCUCCUCUUCCUCCCAUCUACUCACUCAGAUUUCCAGAGCACCCUGAGGAAAACCUGCACUGGGUCUUCAGGACUCCAGAAAGCGUGACUCUUUGACUGUUCCAUGGUCUGAUAUGGCUUAGAGUGCCUCACCUCCUCCACUGCCCAGCUCUGCCAGAGUAUUCGAAGCACCUCGCAAACAUGACACCUUCCAGGAGAUGUUCGUAUCCAUGUAAUACACAAUUUCUUCUGUUGUCAGCCAAGAAGUAGAAGUAGACUUGCAUUUUCCCUGACAUAUGAUGUACAUUUCAUGAACUCAGUAUUUUGGUUUCCCAUGGCCUUUAACAAUACAGGUAAUAAUUUUUGCUCUUG